UGUGGUUCUGAUGGUGAACAGCUGGGUUCUAGAGGUUCUCCUGUGGUUCUAGCAGUGAACAGCUGGGUUCUAGAGGUUCUCCUGUGGUUCUGAUGGUGACCAGCUGGGUUCUGGAGGUUCUCCUGUGGUUCUGAUGGUGAACAGCUGGGUUCUGGAGGUUCUCCUGUGGUUCUAGUGGUGAACAGCUGGGUUGUGGAGGUUCUCCUGUGGUUCUGAUGGUGACCAGCUGGGUUCUGGAGGUUCUCCUGUGGUUCUGAUGGUGAACAGCUGGGUUGUGGAGGUUCUCCUGUGGUUCUAGUGGUGAACAGCUGGGUUGUGGAGGUUCUCCUGUGGUUCUGAUGGUGAACAGCUGGGUUCUGGAGGUUCUCCUGUGGUUCUGAUGGUGAACAGCUGGGUUCUAGAGGUUCUCCUGUGGUUCUAGUGGUGAACAGCUGGGUUCUGGAGGUUCUCCUGUGGUUCUAGUGGUGAACAGCUGGGUUCUGGAGGUUCUCCUGUGGUUCUGAUGGUGAACAGCUGGGUUCUGGAGGUUCUCCUGUGGUUCUGAUGGUGACCAGCUGGGUUGUGGAGGUUCUCCUGUGGUUCUGAUGGUGAACAGCUGGGUUCUGGAGGUUCUCCUGUGGUUCUGAUGGUGAACAGCUGGGUUGUGGAGGUUCUCCUGUGGUUCUAGUGGUGAACAGCUGGGUUCUGGAGGUUCUCCUGUGGUUCUGAUGGUGAACAGCUGGGUUGUGGAGGUUCUCCUGUGGUUCUGAUGGUGAACAGCUGGGUUGUGGAGGUUCUCCUGUGGUUCUGAUGGUGAACAGCUGGGUUCUAGAGGUUCUCCUGUGGUUCUAGUGGUGAACAGCUGGGUUCUGGAGGUUCUCCUGUGGUUCUAGUGGUGAACAGCUGGGUUCUGGAGGUUCUCCUGUGGUUCUGAUGGUGAACAGCUGGGUUCUGGAGGUUCUCCUGUGGUUCUGAUGGUGAACAGCUGGGUUCUGGAGGUUCUCCUGUGGUUCUGAUGGUGAACAGCUGGGUUCUGGAGGUUCUCCUGUGGUUCUGAUGGUGACCAGCUGGGUUCUGGAGGUUCUCCUGUGGUUCUAGUGGUGAACAGCUGGGCUCUGGAGGUUCUCCUGUGGUUCUGAUGGUGAACAGCUGGGUUCUAGAGGUUCUCCUGUGGUUCUAGUGGUGAACAGCUGGGUUCUGGAGGUUCUCCUGUGGUUCUGAUGGUGAACAGCUGGGUUCUGGAGGUUCUCCUGUGGUUCUGAUGGUGAACAGCUGGGUUCUGGAGGUUCUCCUGCUGGUUCUCCAGAGCUAGUUUCAUGAAUGUGCUCACAGACAGACUUCUGGACAACAAAGAGCAGCUGGAGGCGAGUAGAGAAAAUAUCUGAGAUUUAUUUUGUAUAAAAGCGGAG